rnacentral:rRNA from 1 species
AUGGCGCCGAGGUCAGCAGCUCUAGCGGUCGUCGCUGUGGCGGCGACGCUCCUUGCCCUGUGUGGCUCGACGGAGGCCCACACGCAGCUCGGGGCGUACAACAAGACGUGCCCGCAGGCGGAGGACAUCGUGUUCAAGGAGAUGACCGCCGUCCUCGCCAAGUCGCCCGGCCUCGCCGGCUCCCUGCUCAGGCUCUUCUCCGUCGACUGCUUGCUCGGAGGGUGCGAGGGGUCGAUUCUUCUCGACUCCACGGCCAACAACACGGCGGAGAAGGACUCGCCGCUCAACAAGGGUCUCCGCGGCUACGACGUCGUCGACUCCAUCAAGGCUAAGCUCGAGGCCGCCUGCCCCGGCGUCGUCUCCUGCGCCGACGUCCUCGCCCUCGCCGCGCGCGACUCCGUGCGGAUCACCAAGGGGCCGUACAUCCCGAUGCCGACGGGGCGGCAGGACGGGAACAGGUCGUCCGCCGGCGACGUCGCCCCCAACACCCCCAAGCCGGGCGCCAACAUCACCGACCUCAUCGCGCUCUUCGCCAGGUUCAACCUCACCGCCAAGGACCUCGCCGUGCUCUCCGGCGCGCACACCAUCGGCAAGGCUCACUGCUCCGCCUUCUCCCCUCGCCUCUACAACUUCACCGCCAACAGCAGCGCCUCCGACCCCACGCUUGACGCCAACUACACGGCGACGCUCCGCGGGCAGUGCAAGGCCGGCGACCUCGCUACCCUGGUCGACCUCGACCCUGGCAGCGGCGCCACGUUCGACCUCGGGUACUACGGGGACGUCGCGGCGAGCAGGGGCCUCCUCUCCACCGACGCCGCGCUGCUCCUCGACGGGGACACCAGGGCCUAUGUGAUGCGCCAGGCCAAUGCCACCGCGCCCGACGAGUUCUUCGUCGAUUUCGCCGCGUCCUUCGUCAACAUGAGCAAGAUCGGCGUGCUGUCGCACCACAAGGGCGAGAUAAGGAGGCAGUGCUCCGCCGUCAACCCGCCGUCGGCCUCCUCCUUGGCGCCUGCCGCCAUGAGCGCGCACGCCGUGCUACUCGCGAGCUGUUUCGUCUCCAUCGUUACUCUGGCGCUUGUGCUCUAG